rnacentral:rRNA from 1 species
GACGAACGCUGGCGGCGUGCUUAACACAUGCAAGUCGAACGGAAAGGCCCUGCUUGCAGGGUGCUCGAGUGGCGAACGGGUGAGUAACACGUGGGUGAUCUGCCCCUUACUUUGGGAUAAGCCCGGGAAACUGGGUCUAAUACUGGAUAGGACCAUGCUGUAGGUGGUGUGGUGGAAAGAUUAGUUUCGGUAAGGGAUGAGCUCGCGGCCUAUCAGCUUGUUGGUGGGGUAAUGGCCUACCAAGGCGUCGACGGGUAGCCGGCCUGAGAGGGUGGACGGCCACAUUGGGACUGAGAUACGGCCCAGACUCCUACGGGAGGCAGCAGUGGGGAAUAUUGCACAAUGGGCGCAAGCCUGAUGCAGCGACGCCGCGUGGGGGAUGACGGCCUUCGGGUUGUAAACUCCUUUCAGCCAUGACGAAGCCCUUGUGGUGACGGUAGUGGCAGAAGAAGCACCGGCUAACUACGUG